rnacentral:rRNA from 1 species
UACGUAGGGUGCGAGCGUUGUCCGGAAUUAUUGGGCGUAAAGAGCUCGUAGGCGGUUUGUCGCGUCGACUGUGAAAAUCUACAGCUUAACUGUGGGCUUGCAGUCGAUACGGGCAGACUUGAGUUCGGUAGGGGAGACUGGAAUUCCUGGUGUAGCGGUGAAAUGCGCAGAUAUCAGGAGGAACACCGGUGGCGAAGGCGGGUCUCUGGGCCGAUACUGACGCUGAGGAGCGAAAGCGUGGGGAGCGAACAGG